rnacentral:rRNA from 1 species
GCACAAGCGAUGGAGCAUGUGGUUUAAUUCGACGCAACGCGAAGAACCUUACCUGGGCUCGAAAUGUAGUGGAAUCCGGCAGAAACGUCGGCGUCUAGCAAUAGACCACUAUAUAGGUGCUGCAUGGCUGUCGUCAGCUCGUGUCGUGAGAUGUUGGGUUAAGUCCCGCAACGAGCGCAACCCUUAUCUUCAGUUGCUACCAUUUAGUUGAGCACUCUGACGAAACCGCCUCGGAUAACGGGGAGGAAGGUGGGGAUGACGUCAAGUCCUCAUGGCCUUUAUGUCCAGGGCUACACACGUGCUACAAUGGCCGGUACAAACCGCUGCAAACCCGCGAGGGGGAGCUAAUCGGAAAAAGCCGGCCUCAGUUCGGAUUGGAGUCUGCAACUCGACUCCAUGAAGCUGGAAUCGCUAGUAAUCGUGGAUCAGCAUGCCACGGUGAAUACGUUCCCGGGC